rnacentral:rRNA from 1 species
AUGAGUUUAUUUCCGAAGUUACGAAAGCUUGGUUUCUUGGAUCUCUCAUACAACAAAUUGUCUGUCCUGGAUGGAGAAGGCAGGAAAACCGUGGUACCCAUACUGCCUAAACUCCAAAACUUACGACUAGUGUCUUGCAACAUGAAAACAAUUCCUAGAUUCUUGAUGCAUGUUAAUCACCUCAGCAUAUUGGAUCUUUCGGACAACAAAAUACAUGGGACUAUACCCCAAUGGAUAUGGGAGACAUGGGAUGAUAGCCUUACACAAUUAAAUCUUUCCAACAACAUACUCACACAUAUGCAACUCACCUCAUAUGUUCUUUCAUUCAGUUAUUUGCACAUUCUUGAUCUCAGUUCCAAUAGACUUCCAGGACAAAUCCCAAUGCCAAUCCUGUUGAAAGGAGUUGACACUUACUAUCAAUUCUUGGAUUAUUCAAACAACAGAUUCUCUUCUCUUAUGUCAAACUUCACUGCUUAUCUUAGCCAAAUCGCUCAUCUAAUAUUGUCUAGAAAUAACAUUAGUGGAGAAAUACCACACUCAAUUUGUGAUUCAAGCAACCUUGAAGUCCUUGACCUGUCAUACAAUAACUUCAGUUGA